rnacentral:misc_RNA from 1 species
UCUCCGUUGGUGAACCAGCGGAGGGAUCAUUACAGAGUUGCAAAACUCCCAAACCAUUGUGAACGUUACCUUUCCUGUUGCUUCGGCGGGCGGCCCGGGCCCCGCGCCCGGCGCCCCCCGGCCCCCCGUGGGCGCCCGCCGGAGGAAAACCAAACCCUUGAAUUGCAUGGCCUCUCUGAGUCUUCUGUACUGAAUAAGUCAAAACUUUCAACAACGGAUCUCUUGGUUCUG